rnacentral:tRNA from 1 species
GCCCAGUGGCUCAGUUGGUUAGAGCGCCGCCCUGUCACGGCGGAGGUCGUCGGUUCGAGUCCGAUCUGGGUCG